CAUUCAGCCACGCGCGCGUUGUCGGACGUUUCGGUCCGAGCCGGCCAACUUGUUUUUCUCUCUUUCUCCUUCCCUCUCUGCCACUCCCGCUCGCUGUGUGUGUCCGCUUUGUUCGCGAGAUCGCGGGCCAAAAGGGCCAGCGCCCCCCGACGGCACGGCACCGUAACCGUUAGUGUUGGUGGAGAAAGGAGAAACGCGGGCCACACGGUCCCCGGGCCCCGUCCGCUAGCCACAGUUUUCGGGCCUCUGCCUGGAUUUGCGUGCCCCCAGGCCCCCCCCCCCCUCGAUCGACCGAUCGGGUAGCGUGCGUGCCGUGUGUACGAGUUAAUCGCCACCGUCUCCGGUCCCGGAGUGGCCCCUGGGAGUGAUGCCGGAGUGAGGGGUGUUGGAUGUGCAAACGGAAAGGAGCAGCAUCUCGAGUCCGAGUAACAUUGUCGCCUUUAAUGAGCCAUCCCGUCGCCGUCACCGUCGUCGUCGAGUCUUUGCCGCUGCGGAAAAGAAGAUGAGUCAGUACUACUUUCCGAUCGUGUUCGUGUUCCUGUUGGAGAUCCUCCGGUUGGCACAGUCCCAUCCCUUCCUGUUCAACUCGGGCGGUGGACAGUACCGGCGGUCGCAGGUGGAAUGGAAAACGCCGGCCGACAACUGGACGGCCGAGGAGGCACCGAGAAGCGUGUAUCCGCUGCUGCAGAACCAGUUCAACCGGCACCAGCUACCCCCGACCGGCGAUCGGUUCGCGGUGCUCGAGGGCGACGAGGAUGAGCAGAGCCUGCGGCGGAUGCACGAGGCGCGCGAGAACGCGUCGUCGGCGCGGACACUGUUCUCGUACAACAAGGAAGAGUCGCACCUGCCGCCGCUGCUGACGAAGACGAUCAAGUACUUCAAUCUGCAGCAGGUCGCGUUCGAGCUGGAGACGAGCGUGAUGUCGCAGGUGUCCUGCACCGCGUGCAAGGCCGGGGCCGGCCUGCUCCAGCACUACAUCCGGACGGGCAAGAGCAAGGAGGAGAUCAUCAAAAUGAUCUACCAGUACUGCGUCAACCUGAAGAUCCAGUCGGCGCGCGUCUGCGAAGGCGUCAGCCAGCUGUUCGGCGUGGAGGUGAUCUACGUGCUGAAGCGCAUCACGAUCGGGCCGGACGAGAUCUGCAGCUUCAUCAUUGGGGACGCGUGCGGCGACAUCUACAACCCGUACCACGAGUGGGAGGUGGAGUUCCCGCCCGUCGCGAAGCCGGAACCGCGCGAGCUCGAGCUGCCCAAGGAGGCGGUGCCCGUGUUCAAGGUACUCCACCUGUCCGACACCCACUUUGACCCCUACUACGCCGAGGGCUCGAACGCGGACUGCAACGAGCCGCUGUGCUGUCGGCUGACGAACGGGCGGCCCACCACCCCGAACGGGGCGGCCGGCAAGUGGGGGGACUACCGGAAGUGUGAUACGCCGCAGCGGACGGUGGAACACCUGCUGAGCCACAUCGCCGAGACGCACGCGGACAUUGACUUCAUCAUCUGGACGGGCGACCUGCCACCGCACGACGUGUGGAACCAGACGAAGGAGGAGAACCUGAAGGUGCUGAAGGAGACGGUGGCACAGAUGACGGACAAGUUCCCGGGGAUUCCGAUCUUCCCGGCCCUCGGCAACCACGAGAGCGCCCCGGUGAACAGCUUCCCGCCGCCGUACGUCCAGCAGGUGGACAGCUCGAUCGCCUGGCUGUACGACGAGCUGGACGUGCAGUGGCGCCGGUGGCUGCCGGCCAGUGUGUCGCACACGGUGCGCCGCGGCGCGUUCUACUCCGUGCUGGUGCGGCCCGGGUAUCGGAUCAUCUCGCUCAACAUGAACUACUGCAACAACAAGAACUGGUGGCUGCUGCUCAACUCGACCGAUCCCGCCACCGAGCUGCAGUGGUUCAUCUACGAGCUGCAGAGCGCCGAGUUCGCCAACGAGAAGGUGCACGUGAUCGGGCACAUCCCGCCCGGCCACUCGGACUGUCUGAAGGUGUGGAGCCGGAACUACUACAAAAUCAUCUCGCGCUACGAGAGCACCAUCACGGCCCAGUUCUUCGGCCACACGCACUUCGACGAGUUCGAGGUGUUCUACGAUCCGCACGAUCUCGGGCGGGCCACGAGCAUCGCGUACAUCGGCCCGUCGGUCACACCGUACAACGAUCUGAACCCGGGCUACCGGAUCUACUACAUCGACGGUGAUCACGACGAAACGACGCGGCUGGUUGUGGACCACGAGUCCUGGAUCAUGAACCUGAAGGAAGCGAACCUGUACGACUAUCCGAUCUGGUACAAGCUGUACUCGACCCGUGCCGCCUACGGGAUGAAGGGCUUGCGGCCCGCCGACUGGAACACGCUGAUCAACAACAUGACGGACAGCAAGGAGAUGUUCGAUCUGUACUACAAACACUAUUGGAAAAACUCGCCGGUCAAACCGGAGUGCGACUACGAGUGCCGGAAGCGCAUCCUGUGCGACGCCAAAAGUGGCCGAUCGCACGACCGCAAGUACUUCUGCGAGGACGUCGAGGCCAAGAUCGACGAGAGCAACAAGGGCUGGAAGGAUUGGCUGCUGAGUUCGAUCAGCUCUUCCAGCCGCGCGCGGGGUCCGGAUCGGGCAUCAACGGCGCACGACGCACGGCGGCUGAUCGAGGAAGCUUACGAGCGCAACAGGGCGCUGCCCAGUGUGGAGCGUGCCCCGCUCGCUGACCGCCAUUAAGCCCCGGUUUGAUGGCGCUGUGCUAACCCACUCAAAGGUUCUGGAGGACUAAUCGCUAAUCAGUGUUGGGCGUGGGUCACGCGUAUGUAUAUAAUCAAUGUCUUCCCGUUGGUGGAAUCAAUAAAAAGUGCAAUCAUUAAUCCGCUUCCGAUGAGGAAGGGGCCACAAGAGGGCAUUUCCUACGCCAUCCACGGGAUAACGAGCAUAUUUUGGCGCAAGCGAUGACGCGGCCUCUGAGCGAUCAGGUGCAACCGGUGCGGCCCCUCCUGAGCCUCACAAACCUGCCCAUCCCCCCCUCCGGAACAACGGCAUCCGAGUACCGCCAGUGUGUCUGUCCGUAACCAUUUUUCUGUAGAAGCGUUUUGUAGCGCGCACUUGGAACGCGCCGCUGAACCCCUCUCUCGGAUGGGGUCGAGUCCUCCAGCAGGUGAUGUUGUGAUAAACGAAACGAUAGAAUGGCACACGUGUCGAACCAUUUGCACGAGACGUUAGGAUCUUCGAGGAAUCGAUACAGGGCGUAUAUUUUAAACGGUAAUUCAAACCAGCGUCCCGCGGGGCGCUAAAAGGGCGCCUAGUCUGUAAAUAGAAGCGAGUCGAGU